rnacentral:pre_miRNA from 1 species
AAUAAGAUUACUUUUCAGUUUUUUGAUACAAUGUUUUGAAUCUUCAUCUUAUUUAAAAUUUUUUUAUGAUUAAUAUUUUUGUUCUUACUGUAUGAUAAAACAUGAAUAAUAUUUUAUACGUGAUAAUUUUUUUAAGUUUUUGUACAAAUUUUUUAAAUAGGACGAAUGAUCAAACGUUGGACACGGAAAAACGUAAA